CAACUUCCAUGAAAAAAUAAUAAAAAAAAAAAAUUACUUGUUCUGAGCUUCCAAAUGAGAAUAACUUCAAACCGGAUGUGGUGUGAAGAGAGAGUUUACACCCUCUAAUGAUCGGGCGACACAUCACAGUUCUAAAAAUAUUAAAAUAAAAUCAAUCUCAGGUGAUUUUUCAAUACAAUCUUCUCUCUCCCCAGUCUUCCUUCAGUCUCCCUCCCCUCGAUCCAUUGCAGCCUUAAGCAAAUAAUUAGCAAAUGGGUCCACCCGAAAAAACCUUAGAAACCCACCAGUACGCACAAAACAAAACACACUUUACCCAUGGCCGCAUUAUCCAAUUUCGGGCAUCUCGCUGCCUUAAGUUUCUUCAUUUUGUUCUUGGAAUCAUUGUUCAGUAACUAGCCUCUCCUUUUCAAAUUUGAAUUUCAAAUUCAACGUCUUAAUUUCAAUAUUUCCAGAAGACUAGCAGUAUCUUCUGCUCUCUCUCUCUCUCUCAAAAAUACUUCCACUUGAUAUAAUUUCCUGGGAGCAGAUAAGGGCGAUGAUGAUGGAAAUGAUUAGUAUUACUUGGACGAUGAGCUCGUGCCGUGGAAUGUGAGCGAUAAGGUCGGGAGGCAGAGGAUGAGGAAGUUGGGGAAGAGGGCGUUUCCAUAGAUGCACAACUCCAAGAGGUCUCCUUAUCUGUUUGUGACGCCUGGUUGUAUGCGUGGAAAGCAUGGUCUGGGUUUGACUUGGCUUAGUUUAUCUGGUUGCUGUGUAAUUCACUUGUUAUCUUUCAUUGUCGAUGAAGAUCAUUAACUUUUAAUGGAAAACUUGAUUGGUUAUUAAAAAAAAAAAAAAAAAAAGCACGGCCAGUCUGUAAAUACUGAAGGUUGAACGAAGAGCUCAGUAGAAUUCUUCCACAAUUGGAGAUGAUGCGGAAAAGGAAAUCUGAGAGAGGAAAUCAAUUCCUAGAAGUCCAAGAGAAGAUACAGAACAUCUCAAACGAGAUCUACGGAUCCACAGGGUAUACUUAUUUCAUCCAUGUUGGUAGUAGAUGAACGUGAUUUGUCUUUGAGAAAGCUUGAGGAGUUGCACAGAGAGCUGCAUGAACUUCUGAAGCAAUGGUUGAUGCGAUGGCUUCAAAAAUCCUGGCAUGGGAAGGAAAGAGGCAUUGAGUUCACAUAUGAUGGUGAUGAGAACCGAUCGAUACAAUGCUGGAAGAGGUGCGCAUCUUACUCUCAAGCGUGCUGAGAAAGCUUGCUCUUUGGUUAAUAAACUUCCAGGUGGCUUGGAAAAUGAGAGAUGAGGAGGGCUUUUACCAUCCCCACAAUGUGGAUUUCCGUGGCUAAGCAUACCCAAUGCAUACACAUUUGAAUCAUUUGAGUUUCGAUCUCCAUCAAGGAAUGCUUGAGUUUGCCCAAGGGCAACCUUUAGGGAAGUCUGGCUUACACUGACUGAAGAUACAUUUAGCAAACCUGUAUUCAGGUGGUGUUGAGAAGCUAUCACACGAUGGACGUCUAUGGGCACAUGGGUUGAAAGUAUUUUUAUGCUUUGGGUAGUUCUGAGAUGUACUUUAAUAUUGACAUGUAAUGGAUGGGCAGUUUUAUGGUUUGGGCAUUUCUUGUUGUAAAUUUGUAAAAAUUUUACUUUUGAGAAUGAAUGGACAGUUUCAGAUUUUUGUAUA